UUCGUAGGCGGUGCGGUAAGUCGGAAGUGAAAUCUCUGGGCUUAACUCAGAGGCUGCUUUCGAAACUACCGUGCUAGAGUGCGGGAGAGGCGAGUGGAAUUGCAGGUGUAGCGGUGAAAUGCGUAGAUAUCUGCAGGAACACCCGUGGCGAAGGCGGCUCGCUGGACCGCAACUGACGCUGAGGAACGAAAGCUAGGGGAGCAAACAGGAUUAGAUACCCUGGUAGUCCUAGUCCUAAACCAUCAGGACUUGGGGUGGCCCGCGUUGGCGGGUCGUCCCGGAGCUAACGCGUUAAGUCCUGCGCCUGGGGAGUACGGUCGCAAGGCUGAA
rnacentral:rRNA from 1 species